GAAAGCAGAUAGAAAGGUUUCAGAAGUAAUGGUAUUCAGAGAUUCAAUGAUGUCAAAGGAAGUAUGUAGACCGCAGUAUAUGAAAGUUAUAUGCGAUGAAGAAUUGGUUAUCGUGAAAGUGUUUGCUAAGAAAAGAAAGAAUUGUUUUAGAAAAGUUGGGGAAAUCCGCAAAUCUGUUUUUUGGUCUGUACCGAGUUAUUCAGAGUUGAAAUGGUUAUCUGUUGACCGGAACUU
rnacentral:lncRNA from 1 species